UACGAAGGGGGCUAGCGUUGUUCGGAAUCACUGGGCGUAAAGCGCACGCAGGCGGAUUGUUAAGUCAGGGGUGAAAUCCCGAGGCUCAACCUCGGAACUGCCUUCGAUACUGGCAAUCUUUGAGUCCGGGAGAGGUGAGUGGAACUCCGAGUGUAGAGGUGAAAUUCGUAGAUAUUCGGAAGAACACCAGUGGCGAAGGCGGCUCACUGGCCCGGUACUGACGCUCAGGUGCGAAAGCGUGGGGAGCAAACAGG
rnacentral:rRNA from 1 species